rnacentral:lncRNA from 1 species
AAAAAAAAGGCAACAACAUAAAGCAAGAAACUGGUUGGUUUGCUUCAACGAUCUCUCCCACUCUCUCACGCAUCAUUCAAAAGCCCAUUGGUUCUCCCUGCGCACCUCCUCUUCUUCCUCUGGUGAAAAGUCGUUCUUGAUGUUGAAGGUCGUGCGAAUCUCCUCCGGAGUCUUGCCCUUGAUCAUGUCAGCCACUGUCUGGCAUGUCAGGUCGAGAAGGUUCUUGAUGUUCAGAUAAUUAGCAGCCUGCAACAUCCAAAACCAAAAAUUUCAGAUUCAAAUCAACUUUACAUAUCUCAAUCUUAGGAAAGAUCCAAUCUUUACCCGAAACUGAAAACACAAAUGGAAUAAUUCCCAAAUUGCAGAUAAGGCAGAAUGAAACCCUAAUUUUCCAAAAUCGGGAACCCUAACAAUCCCAAUCUCACGAAAGAUCCAAUCUUUAAACGAAACGAUACGAGAAAACGAAACCCUAAUUUCAAAAUCAACAACCCUAUAACAGUCAACAAAUCUCCGAUUCAAAUCACGAUCGAUUCCAUAAGAGCCCUAACAAUCUCAAUCGCAACAAAGAUCCAACCUUUAAUCGAAACCCCUAAAUUUCGUAACCCUAAUUUUUCAAAAUUCGAAAACCCUAAAUCAAUCAAUCAAGAAGCAAACAAACCAGGAUGAGCUCAAAGAGGGUAGCUUGAUCGAUCUUCAUAAACUCAGCAUCCCAAGCCUUGAGGUCAUCGUCGGAGGAGCCACCGCCAUCGACGGCCUCGCUCUUGGAAGCAGCAGCGUCGACGUGCUUCUUGCAGUACUCAAUCACCUUGGCGAGGAUCUUGCUCGUGACGUUGGGAAGAGGGACUCCGUUGUCGACGCAGUCGUCUUCAACCAUGUGGGCUAUGGUCUGAGACUCGAGAGCCACCGCCUCGUCGACCUCGAAAGACUCGCCAUCGGAGCUCUUCAACACGAUCUUCUUCGUCGACAUGUUUGUGAGAAAACGCGAGAGGAGAUUUGAGAGAAGGGAUGAAGUGGAGGAGAUCCCUAAUUUUUCUUUAUAAGUGGGUCGAUUGUUACAAAGUCAUCGCGAGAUUAGGAAUAAAAGGAAAUCUUUUAUUUGUUUCCAAUUCUAAAAUUAGGAAAUAUAGAAAAUAAUCCUAAUUAGUUAGUUGCUCAAAGAAAGAAAAUAAUCCUAAUUUCAUUAAUCUUAACUUUUUAAGUUAAUUUUGAUACGAUUAAUUCGUUAUUUGGACUUUGGAUAUUUUGAAAAAAAAAAAAAAAAAGGCAACAACAUAAAGCAAGAAACUGGUUGGUUUGCUUCAACGAUCUCUCCCACUCUCUCACGCAUCAUUCAAAAGCCCAUUGGUUCUCCCUGCGCACCUCCUCUUCUUCCUCUGGUGAAAAGUCGUUCUUGAUGUUGAAGGUCGUGCGAAUCUCCUCCGGAGUCUUGCCCUUGAUCAUGUCAGCCACUGUCUGGCAUGUCAGGUCGAGAAGGUUCUUGAUGUUCAGAUAAUUAGCAGCCUGCAACAUCCAAAACCAAAAAUUUCAGAUUCAAAUCAACUUUACAUAUCUCAAUCUUAGGAAAGAUCCAAUCUUUACCCGAAACUGAAAACACAAAUGGAAUAAUUCCCAAAUUGCAGAUAAGGCAGAAUGAAACCCUAAUUUUCCAAAAUCGGGAACCCUAACAAUCCCAAUCUCACGAAAGAUCCAAUCUUUAAACGAAACGAUACGAGAAAACGAAACCCUAAUUUCAAAAUCAACAACCCUAUAACAGUCAACAAAUCUCCGAUUCAAAUCACGAUCGAUUCCAUAAGAGCCCUAACAAUCUCAAUCGCAACAAAGAUCCAACCUUUAAUCGAAACCCCUAAAUUUCGUAACCCUAAUUUUUCAAAAUUCGAAAACCCUAAAUCAAUCAAUCAAGAAGCAAACAAACCAGG